GGCCUUGACAUACUAAGAACUUUCCAGAGAUGGAUUGGUGCCUUCGGGAACUUAAGAUACAGGUGCUGCAUGGCUGUCGUCAGCUCGUGUCGUGAGAUGUUGGGUUAAGUCCCGCAACGAGCGCAACCCUUUUCCUUAUUUGCCAGCGGGUCAUGCCGGGAACUUUAAGGAUACUGCCAGUGACAAACUGGAGGAAGGCGGGGACGACGUCAAGUCAUCAUGGCCCUUACGGCCAGGGCUACACACGUGCUACAAUGGUCGGUACAAAGGGUUGCUACCUCGCGAGAGGAUGCUAAUCUCAAAAAGCCGAUCGUAGUCCGGAUCGCAGUCUGCAACUCGACUGCGUGAAGUCGGAAUCGCUAGUAAUCGCGGAUCAGAAUGCCGCGGUGAAUACGUUCCCGGGCCUUGUACACACCGCCCGUCACACCAUGGGAGUUUGUUGCACCAGAAGUAGGUAGUCUAACCGCAAGGAGGACGCUUACCACGGUGUGGCCGAUGACUGGGGUGAAGUCGUAACAAGGUAAGCGUAGAUGA
rnacentral:rRNA from 1 species